rnacentral:rRNA from 1 species
GAUGAACGCUGGCGGCGCGCCUAACACAUGCAAGUCGAACGAUUAAAGCACCUUCGGGUGUGUAUAAAGUGGCGAACGGCUGAGUAACACGUGGGCAACCUGCCCCUUUCAUUGGGAUAGCCACGGGAAACCGUGGAUAAUACCGAAUACUUCGAGACUUCCGCAUGGAAGACUCGAGAAAGCUCCGGCGGAGAGGGAUGGGCCCGCGGCCUGUUAGCUUGUUGGUGGGGUAACGGCCUACCAAGGCAAUGAUGGGUAGCUGGGUUGAGAGACCGACCAGCCAGAUUGGGACUGAGACACGGCGCAGACUCCUACGGGAGGCAGCAGUGGGGAAUCUUGCACAAUGGGCGAAAGCCUGAUGCAGCGACGCCGCGUGCGGGAUGAAGGCCUUCGGGUUGUAAACCGCUUUCAGCAGGGACGAGGCGAAAGUGACGGUACCUGCAGAAGAAGCCCCGGCUAACUACGUG